rnacentral:rRNA from 1 species
CCUACGGGAGGCAGCAGUGAGGAAUAUUGGUCAAUGGCCGAGAGGCUGAACCAGCCAAGUUGCGUGCGGGAAGAAUGUCCUAUGGAUUGUAAACCUCUUUUGUCAGGGAGCAAAGUCACCCACGUGUGGGUGUUGGAGAGUACCUGAAGAAAAAGCAUCGGCUAACUCCGUGCCAGCAGCCGCGGUAAUACGGAGGAUGCGAGUGUUAUCCGGAACUAUUGGGUAUAAAGGGUGCGUAGGCGGGUUAUCAAGUCAGCGGUAAAAUGGUGGAUCGAAACUCCAUCCAACUGUUGAAACUGAUGAUCUUGAGUGGGCGAGAAGUAUGCGGAAUGCGUGGUGUAGCGGUGAAAUGCAUAGAUAUCAGAAAGAACUCAGAUUGCGAAGGCAGGAUACCGGCGCCCGACUGACACUAAGGCACGAAAGCGUAGGUAUCGAACAGGAUUAGAUACCCUUGUAGUC